UAAUCGUUUUUCUCCUUAUUUCUGUUCCAUACAAAUGGUUUUCCUGUUUGGGGGCACUAAUGAGUCUUUUUUAUUUUUAUACUUUAUGUUCAUCUACUAUUACUUUAAGUUUGAACUACAGUGAAGAAUCCAAAGGAUAAUGUCAUCUUGACUACAAAUCCCAGAUCUCUAUUACUGAUUAUGACCAAGCUGAUAGUAAAUCGGAGGAAACAGUCCAAUGUUCCCUAGUAUAUGUGAGUACAUGAAUGUGAAUUUCUGAAAAUUGUUGAAGCUAAUUGUGGCAGGCCGUGUUUGUUGUUCACCUAGUAGCUAUUCUGCCUAAUUUUAUUACUGGAAGAUACCUGAUUUUUGUUUGGAUUUCCACUCCUGUCUCAUGUGAUUCAGGGGUAAAUCUUAAUUUCUCUGUCAUUCCUAGCAAUACCAUUUGCCUUACUAGUGAGAGAUUUAGAAGAUGUGUUUCCAAUUCUGAACAAUGAAAUUUGAAGGGAGGUCCACUGGAGACUUCUGGGAAAUGUUUCCUUGCUCUUCAAGGGAAAAAAAAGUGGCAGAGUUAAGCUUUUCUUCUGCAAGUUCAUUGUUUUCAAAAUGUGUUGUCUGAAACUGUCAUGACCAUUCAGAGACCAUGAAGUAGGCACCAAGCCGAGGAUGGCAAAACCAGAAAGAUGGAAAGAUGCUGCCUUCUUGGAUAGUAGUGUUGUGCUGAUGAAUUAAUAAAACAGGAAGCCAUCUAUGUCUUGUUAUGUCACUUUUCAAUAUGUUAGAUAAUAAAUCCCUUUAUUUGUUAAGCUAAUUAAAUGAAAGUUUUCGGUUACCUGCAUCUGAAAUAUGCUAAUGGAUGUACCAUGGUGUAAACCUACCUUUGAUUGGUAACAGUCUAAAAGACAAAGGUGAGCAUAAGUUCAUCCCAACUGGGAUUCAAUGCUUUAGCCAGAUCACUGGUUUAGUGGUACAUGAGGAACCUGCAUUUACUCUGUGAAAAUAUAUGUCCUAGCCUUAAUACGAGAAAAGA
rnacentral:lncRNA from 10 species